UACAGAGGGUGCGAGCGUUAAUCGGAAUUACUGGGCGUAAAGGGCGCGUAGGCGGUUAUAUAAGUCAGCUGUGAAAUCUCUGGGCUUAACCUAGGAAUUGCAGAUGAAACUGUAUAGCUAGGGUGCAGUAGAGGGUAGCGGAAUUUCCGGUGUAGCGGUGAAAUGCGUAGAUAUCGGAAGGAACACCGGUGGCGAAGGCGGCUAUCUGGACUGCAACUGACGCUGAGGCGCGAAAGCGUGGGGAUCAAACAGG
rnacentral:rRNA from 1 species